CCCAGGGUUACCAUGAUGGGUGGAUGAGGAGGAGGAGGAUGUGAGGCCGAGAGGAGGCGAGAGGGCUCCCAAGGCCUCCUUUAGCCGGAACACCUCUUUGGACAGCUCUGUUAUCUGCAUCAAGACAGACAUAUCAGUUUGGCCCUGGGAUUCCUGGAUGUCCUUAUGGAGUUCCUGGAUGUGGCUGGAUUGUGCUUGUAGCUCAGCGAGCUGCUGCUGCACUGUGGCCAGCUGGGACUCUGCGACCUGCCGCUCACUCUUGUUAAAGAGAGCCUCCCUCUGCACCUGGAACACCUAGACCAGUAAAACCACCAGUGGCAUCCUGUCACUUUAAAAACGUGGUCUAUGUUUAGUCACUCUCUGCUUAUAUAUCGUAAAAGUGGAGGAUGACCCUAGAGCACUGACAAUGCUCUAGGGUAUAUUUAAAUGAGAUAUUUAAAUGGACAGUACAGUUGCUAUGGUACUAUAUUGACAGAUUCAUACAGACAAAAAUACAAGCUUACAGGAAAGAACUCAA